CCCUCUCACAUUGGUACAUCCCCCCAGGUAUUGUCUUCUACAGUAGAGCGGGACAUUUGAUUUACUCUCAGCGGAAUUGACCGGAGAAGGCAUCAGUUCAUGCACUGCACUGGCCUGCACCACGAUUAGUAUAAGGCACAUUUCACGAAGCAGAACGCAGUCUUCAGAGAUAUCCACGUGAACGCUGUGAUACGUCUGACCUUCAGUCCGAAGAAGAAACUCAGACCAGUCUUAAAAGAAAGCACAAACCAAAUCCCCUGUACACAUAUACGGACUCAGAGGAUGAGCAGCCUACAAAAAAACGGUUUCCCCAGGCCCCUCGAGUGAAAAUACCAGCCCUCAUCACUCCGCAGUCUGCCCCCCAGCCCACUGAUAGCAACCAUCAUAAUGCCCCACCCAGCUUCCGGCACCUUUCGCCACUCCGGCACAAACCGACACAAACCGACACAGCUUUGCGAUCUCGCCAGCAUGCAGAGUCUGAUGUCUUCCCUAUAGAUGGUAUGCUUUUAAAAAAGCUUUAAAGCUGCAUCACAAUGUCAUUGUACUCUUAUCUU